AAGGCAUUAGAUCUAGAGUCCCAAAGGUUAGAGACAAAACAAAAACAGUUUGAUGGACCUCACAGAAACUACAUGUUCCUAGCAGAGUCCUGAUACCAGAGCGUCAGUACACACCUGUUGAGUAAAUGAACAAUCGGCAUGGGAUGGAUGCUAUGGUAUUGAAUCUGCAAGCCUGUGGCUCCCUUGGAUCCCACCUUCUAGAAGAUGAAGUCUCUUCCUGUUUCUCUGUCUCAGCUCUACAUCAAGAUACUUACAUUUUUCUGCUCCAUUGCUCUCUGUGACCUGAUUUUGUUGGGCCCUUGAAACGGGCUGCACAGACCUUUCUGCCAGAUUCUGAAGCUGUUGGCCAUUUGCAUGUGCAACACAGAUGAGCGCUGAAGGUGAUCACACCAGAGAACACCAUCACUGGAGCAGGUCUGUACAGGAUAAUCCCACAGGGGACAGAGCCACAAAGAUGAGACUAUCCAUCUAAUGUGACUUCAAAGGAAACACAUAGCAUCCUUGUACUUAGUAUUUAAUUUAUUCCCCAGAAGAGAUACUGUAUAUUCUUUGUCUAAUAUUCAAUAUUAUAAAUGUACAGUAUUAUGAUUCUGUCAUAAACAGUGACCUAGGGACCUACAUACCAUUUAUGACUAGAAUCUGGUAGGCUUUCUUCCCAAGAAACAGAAAUAUAUUUACAAAUUAACCUUCAGUGUAUAACUGAUCUGUACAUUGGUAACUCAUCCUACAUAAUUCCUUUUACUCUGAACCAUGAGUAAGAAGGGACAG